CCUAGCGAACACCCGUCCAGGACGUGGGCUCUCGAGCCUACUACUGCGGGUGUAUCCACAACCCGUGUCUACGUACUCUUGUUGCUUUGGCGGGCCGCGGCCUCCGCUACGGGCUCUGCUCGUACGUGCCCGCCAAGGGUCCAAAUUCUGAAUGUUAGUGAUGUCUGAGUACUAUAUAAUAGUUA
rnacentral:misc_RNA from 1 species